GUUUCGUGAUAGCUGAUGUGUCAAAAA
rnacentral:sRNA from 1 species